rnacentral:lncRNA from 1 species
GGCUGUGUUUCACUGAGAAGCAAAGAAAAGUUGAGUUACGAAGAGGGAUAAAGAUGAUGUUCAUGUACAAAGAGGAGCAGAGUUGAGAAAGAGUCCCUGGGUCCUUCUAAUUCCUGGUUCCAACCCCAUUUUGAGGGAAAACUGCAUUUCUUUCUUUGGCUUCUAUGACUCUCUUGCAUCCCUGUAAGUACCUUUUUUAUUAAGCCUGUACCAAAGAGUUUCCAUCCUUUGCAGACAAAAGAAGUCACAACUAACAUUCCUCUUACCUCAGUGCUUCAGUUUAUGUUUCACUCAUAACACGAAGACAACUAUAUUAAUAGGCAUGGUUCUGGUUUAGAUUUCUAAUUCCUUCAUGCCUUUUAUUCUGUCUAGGAAUGCCAAGAACUACAGCAAAAUCUUGUCCAGAUGUGAUUCUACCAUGCCAUCAGCCCUGAAGACAUAACUCCAGAAUUACAGAUUUUGCCUAUUUAUCCAAAAUGAUGCUACUUAUUGAACCAAUGGAACACUUGAGAAAUAUGUCAGUGAGUCAGCUUCACCCCCAAGCUCUUUGCAUUGAACUGAAUAAAUCCAAAUGAAUACAUUCUGGGAGAGAAGUAAAGACAGUAGAAUG